AUUGAACGCUAGCGGGAUGCUUUACACAUGCAAGUCGAACGAGUGGCGGACGUGUGAGUAAUAUAUCGGAACGUGCCCACUAGCGGGGGAUAACUACUCGCAAGUGUGGCUAAUACCGCAUAUUAUUGGAGCGGCCGAUAUCGCAUUAGCUAGUUGGUGGGGUAAAGGGUCACCAAGGUGACGAUCCGUAGCUGGUUUGAGAGGAUGACCGGCCAAACUGGGACUGAGACACGGCCGAGACACUGACGGGAGGAAGCAGUGGGGAAUUUUGGACAAUGGGGGAAACCCUGAUACAGCCAUCCCGCGUGUAUGAGAAGGCCUUCGGGUUGUAAAGUACUUUUGGCAGAGAAGCGGUAUCUGCAUAAUAAGCACCGGCUAACUACGUGCCAGCCGCCGCGGUAAUUC
rnacentral:rRNA from 1 species